AGACCCGGCGCCCUCGGCAGCUCCCACCGCCGCUCCCAGCCACAGCGAUGUCCCGUGCGGCGGCGCUGGGAAGGACCUCAGGCCCCCCCGCCGGCUCCGGCGUUGCAGCGGCCGCUGUGAAAGCCGCGGCCCCACUCGCUCCGUAACACCCUCCCCUCCCCCGGAGGCUGCGCUGACCGGACAAUGGCCGCUCCGCCCCCUCCCCGCCUCGCGCACCCCUCCUGAGGAGUCACACAAUGGUCUCGCCCGGGGGGGUGGGGGGAGCCGCCGCCGGGGCCCAGCAGCUGAUCAGCUGGGCGCCGGGCGUGCCACUUUGUUCAGCUCCUCAAAGGAAGAGGACUGGGCCGUGGGCAGAGCCGAGACCGCUGGGCUGUCACUCGGCGGCUUUCGCAUCCUUCGGGACUUUUAAGGUCUUCCACACCCAAGCUCACUCUUCCUGUUCCACCCGGAGAACUGGUCUCUCUUUGGCAGCGGUAAACUUCUGGGAAUGUCCCUCCUCUCCGCACCAGCAAUGGAGAAGGGCGAGAGUGUAGUGUCUUGGUCAGAUUACGUGCUCUUCUAAGCCCAUCGGUGUGCCCAGCCUUAGAGACACGAGUUCACUCCCUUUGCCGAAGCGAGGACAGCCUCUCUUCUUACUGGAGUGGACAUUUUGGUUUUCGGAGGGGAGCUAUGGCCAAAUCAGUGAUGGAAAUUUGGGAAGUGACCAAAAAGUUUGAGCCACAAAAAAAACGAGUCCUUUAGCGCUCAUUGUCUUUAAUCCUGAACCCGUUCUAAGUUCCAGCCAAUCGUGAGCAGAAGAUAAUUAUUGAUGACUUAUUUCAACAAGGAGCAAAUUUCCACGAGAUCUGGAGAAAUGACCCAAAGCUGAGGCCCUUAUGGGCGAACUGCUCAGUCCCUGGGAGGCUUCCUGUCUCUUUUUGUUGUUGUUGUUGUUUUCUUUUCUCACAGUUUUAGCACGUUCACAGACGGUCUUGAAGCCCCAUCGACAGGGGCCUUGAACCCCUUUUCUUGGCACAGAGAGAAGGAGGGCUUGCCAGUUGACAACCACAAACCCUAUUGUAAAUAGACGUUGCUUGCUGUCCCCUCCUGCCCCUCACCAAUUAAAGUUUUCUAAAUAGUAA